rnacentral:piRNA from 1 species
UCAUUUUUCUUAUCAAUAGCUUCACUGAGA